ensembl:snoRNA SNORD14 Small nucleolar RNA SNORD14
UCGCAAUGAUGAAGUUUAUUCCUAAGUCAUUCGUAGUUUCCACCUGAGGCUGAAAGGCCUAAGAAGGCACAAGUUCCUUCCUUGGAUGUCUGAGCGA